rnacentral:misc_RNA from 1 species
UCUGAAGCAUUUCCAUAGCCCUCAGAUUUGACAGGACGCAUAUCCUCCUGACUAACACGUGAUGCUUCCUUUUUAGGUCGGUCUAAUCUUUUCGGUUUUCCAAGAAGAGCAGCAUCCAAAGAUUCCAUGGGUCCAGUUUCAGCAGGUGUAUUGGAAUCAGAACUUCUCUCAGCGGGCUGUGUAUCAGUCUGCUGGAAUCCUGUACCAAAGCCUUGCUUCUCAAGAGGAUUGCUUCUGUUAGAUUGUAACGGUUGGCGG